AGCUCCCGCGGUCCGGCCCGCGCAGGUGAGACGCGGGCGCGGCUGAGUCACCGGCGCUGCUCCCCCUCUCCCGGGUCUCAGCCCGGGCGUCCCGCGGCUACGGCCCACCUUCCCCUUCCCGCCCACUCAGCAAGGGGAUCCCCCGGCCGUGGAGGCAGGAGACCUGGCGUGGGGGUGGGCGGGCGAGGCUGGCUCGGAGGGUCCGGCUCUGGAGAGCCGCGCUUUUCCCGUGCCCGGGAAAGGAGGCCAGACUCGCUUGCAGGAAUGAGGCACUGUCGGCUGCGGAGCCACGCGGGCCCCGGGCUGGGGACUCAGGAGGAAGCCGAGGGUCAGCACCUGCUUGUGGAGCAAGGCCCUGACGCCAACUCCCAGGGCUGGUGAGGACCAGGCUGGCCUGCGGGAUGCCCUCCCGGCCAGCGAGGAUCCGCCAGCCUGCGGCAGCUCCAGAGACACUCAUCUGACCCAGGCCGGACCUACCCUUGAGGCCCAGUCAGAUCCACUUCACCUGGGCCCUGUACUGAGGUGAAGAGAUGGGGUCUCUCACUGCGUUGCCCAGGCUGGUCUCGAACUCCUGGCCUCAAGUGCCGGCAUUCCAGGUGUGAGCCACCACGCCCGGCUGAGAUGUUCCUUUUCCUUGGAACUUGAUCAACACAAAAUCCUGAGGCCUGGUGUGGUGGUGUUCCUCUGGGGCACAUUCUCGAAUGGGGACACUUCUGCCCCCAAAGACACAUUUCGACGUCCUGAGACAUUUCCGGGUGUCAUAACGGUGUGCACGCACAUGUAUGUACCUGCACACGCUACUGGCACCUCGUGGAUAGAGCCCAGGGACGCUGCUCACAUCCUGCAAGGAGACUGACCCGCCCUGUGUCCUUAGGGUGGGCUCCCGGCAGGGUCUGCAUGUUCCUCUGCCAGCCACCUAGACCCUGCCAGUCGGGCCACUUUAAAUUCUCCCCUCGUGGUCUCCAGGGCAACACACUAGCCUGAUUUCAAGCUGUAAA